rnacentral:rRNA from 1 species
GAACGGGUGAGUAAUAUAUCGGAACGUACCCUAGGGUGGGGGAUAACGUAGCGAAAGUUACGCUAAUACCUGCAUACGCUCUACGGAGGAAAGCAGGGGACCGCAAGGCCUUGCGCUCAUGGAGCGGCCGAUAUCGGAUUAGCUUGUUGGUGGGGUAAAAGCCCACCAAGGCGACGAUCCGUAGCUGGUCUGAGAGGACGACCAAGCCACACUGGGACUGAGACACGGCCCAGACUCCAUACGGGAGGCAGCAGUGGGGAAUUUUGGACAAUGGGGGCAACCCUGAUCCAGCCAUGCCGCGUGUGUGAAGAAGGCCUUCGGGUUGUAAAGCACUUUUGUCCGGAACGAAACGGUUGAUGCGAAUAACAUCAGCUAAUGACGGUACCGGAAGAAUAAGCACCGGCUAACUACGUGCCAGCAGCCGCGGUAAUACGUAGGGUGCAAAGCGUUAAUCGGAAUUACUGGGCGUAAAGCGUGCGCAGGCGGUUUCGCAAGUCCAGAUGUGAAAUCACCGGGCUCAACUUGGGAACUGCAUUUGAAACUAGAGGCUAGAGUGUGUCA